rnacentral:rRNA from 1 species
UACGGAGGGAGCUAGCGUUGUUCGGAAUUACUGGGCGUAAAGGGCGCGUAGGCGGCUUAACAAGUCACUUGUGAAAUCUCCGGGCUUAACUCGGAACGGCCAAGUGAAACUGUCAAGCUAGAGUGCAGAAGGGGCAAUCGGAAUUCUUGGUGUAGCGGUGAAAUGCGUAGAUAUCUGGAGGAACACCGGUGGCGAAGGCGGCGUCCUGGACCAACACUGACACUGAUGAGCGAAAGCCAGGGGAGCAAACGGG